rnacentral:lncRNA from 1 species
CAGGAGAAACUCAUGGCCAUCAGUCCCUUGAAAUAACCUGCUGUUCUAGAAGGCCACACCGGCAAACCAGACAUGAGCAAUACUGCAGAGUCACUAGUCACACUCAGUAGGGUAAAUAUUGACAUCUUACCUGCAGAAAGUAGAGACUAAAUAAAUUACAAUGUAGUUCUGAAAAAUCAACCAAGACACGUAGAUGCCUCUAACAAGCAAAAAGGUAAAUGCAAUAUUUCUCAAGUAAAGAAAGAG